CGAGCAGCACCAGAGCUGUAAAGCAUCGCUGCAGUUCUGCUCUGACACCCGGACACAGCCCUGCAGGACACAAACUGCUUUUCCACUCAGUGCUGAACGCUCCACUCUCUGCAUUAAGGACCCUCCACCAGCAGCAGCACAGCUCUCAGUAGCUCUGACUCCUCACAGCUGUAGCAGCAAAAGAUGCAGACAGUCACCUAGUGGGAAAUUUGGAACAUUUCUUCUUUCCUAUACCCAUGAAACACUGAAGUAUGAUGGAGAAGAGGAAAAGAGGAACUGAGGAGCUCCAAAAAGAAUAUGGUGAAAAGUCCUGCGCUGAGUGGCCCCAGUAGCUGGGAUGCCAGAUUAUUUUUUACUGCUUAAACAUGGCUCUAUAUAUGCUUGUCCCUGGGUUCCUACCCAGAAGCAAGAAGGCUUUGUCAGAGAGGAAAAGUUUCUUCCUGUGCUGGAGCUGAGUUCAGAGCACAGGGACGUGAAUCGUAUCAUAGAAUCACAGAAUGGCAUGGGUUGAAAAGGACCGAAAAACGAUCAUCUGGUUUCAACCCCCUGCCAUGUGCAGGGUCGCCAAUCGUGGCGAGGAAUCCUGCCGAGCUGACAGCCCGCAGAGCUGGGGAGGGGAGAGGAAGGGAAAGGAGGAACUCUGCUUAUGCGGAUGCUUGGCAGGUGCUCAGUGACAUUCGUUCCGUUGUCACAGCUGAUCCCUCCAGCAUAACCUGAAGCACCGAGUGAAAGAGAUCUCAAUCUGCACAAUGAAACCUGCCGUUCUCCCCGGCGCUGCCCACGGACUGCUUUACACUUUCUCCACUCUUUCCCCACUUGAGCCCAUUUCAAAUCACGGCGCUCCCAGCUGCAGCCCGCUGCUUUCCACUGCUGCACAAAACCAACAAGGCCUUGCAAAUAAAGGCAUGCAAAUACACACAGGCACACACUAACAAAAUGAAACACAACAUUUGCAGAAGUGCAUGCAGAUUUACCAAGCUGUGCACUUUACUUCUGUUUUCCUGUGACUCAGAGAAGAAGGAACAGGGCUUAAUAUUUUUAUACAUAUGACUGUAAUACAAAUACUUUGAAGACAUGUAUCUUACAGCAUCUCAGUGUGGACAUGUUGUACUGCACUAGGAAAAGCGAGGAAGCAUUUUUAUCCAUAAAAAUGCCAUUUGUGA